AUCUUUUCGGUGUAAGGCACAAGAGAAUUUGAGUCUCUUAGAGGAUUUUUUUCCAAAAGAUA
rnacentral:tRNA from 1 species